GCCAGGAAGGCACCCUUCCUCUUCAGACAAGAGGCAGCUUAAAGGUUUCCUGGAGACCUGAAGAAAGUAAGAGGCAAAUUAAAACAAGGGGAAGUGUGAGCAUCAGGAGUUCAAGAUCAUUCUAAGCUACAUGCAGAACUUCAGGACAGCCAGGACUAAACAAGAUUCCUUCUCUAAAGAUAAGCGAUGGGGGGCUGAACCUCAGUGGAAGAGUGCUUGCAUAACCCUUGUUGCUUCUACUUUGAACAGUUUGGCUCUGAAAAUUUUCUGUUUAGAUGUAUUAUUGAUUAAAAACUAAAACCAA
rnacentral:lncRNA from 1 species